CGAGGAGGUAGAUUUUCGGAAGUCAGCCAGCCAGUCCUGAAGCAGGUCCAGCUGCUCACACCGGAUGGCACUGUCCUCUGCAGACAGGACAAGAGACCAGACUAUGAAGCUUGACCUGGACCCCAGCCAAGGCCCAGAAGGCCACUCUGGCUACCAAGACAGAAAUAUACCCACGAAUGCAACACAAAUGAGCAACAUGUCAGAAUGGGAAGGCUGGAACUGUGUUUCAGAAGACUGGAAAGCUGGGGACCCUAACUCUGGCAGAGCCAUGCAAGGGGCCUUGAGCACCCCAGGGUGGGGCCUAUGAGUGCCUUCCUUGUCCUUAACCAGCUCAGAUGGAGUCGUUGUGCCCUUACCUCCAGUAGGCACCGGCUCAGUAUUUUCCUGCACAGGUCGGGCUCAGUUAAGACUGGAACGGAGAAAUGAGAGAAACCUGCCCUGAGCCAUAGUCAGGGUCCUCCACUAAAGCAGCCCUUGAGUCAAAUCUCACUUGUAAGGGGAGAACCACAGGCAAAACAGCUGCUGCCCCUGGGGACAGAAAGCCCCGUCAGCGUCAGAUGGCCAAACGAUGCUUCAGAAAACUGGAUUCACUAGCAGUGGCUUUUAGAUAGAGAACAAAAAGUUGACACAGUAUCUCAGGCUCCAUCGAAGAUCAUGUGUAAUGGCCAAAUUACCAUGGUCUAAAACCUCCUCCACUGCAUCCAAAUUAGCAGAAAUAAUCAUGAUCCACUUUAAUUAGUGACUAUGGAAAUGAAGCCAAGGGCUGGUGGGCAGAGAGCCCGGCAUGGCAGCUGCUGGCAACAGGAAGGGGGCCUGUCCUGGCCAGCGAAGCUAGAGGCCUCAGUGGCUAAGUGUGGUCUUUGGCCUGGGGACCUGAGAGCCCAUAUUCUGGCCUGCACUCGGGUUCUACUCUGGUCUCUGCCACGUGUGAAUGGAGAUGGGGCUUGUCUCCUUCCGUCCCUAAUCACAGCGAUCAGUACCACCAUGGUCACCGCAUGCUACUGCAUGCAAGAGGCUCUGAAUCCCAUCUGGAUCGCAACAUACUGGGUCACCCUCACCCCACUUUACAGAUGAGUAAAUGUGACUCGGAUCUGAGAAACUGGCCUCAUCACUCAGCAUGAGUCCAUGGGUUUCCUGUGCUUGAGCUGGGGGUCCUGAGUUCAGUUCCAUGGAAAGCUUUGGCUCCCAAUUCACCCCAUCAAGGGAGUGAGGAUUCCCAGGGAAUAUGGGUUGGUAGGGGUUAUGGCCCAUUUUGUCAUGUGGUUUGGGGACACUUGGUUUGUAGCCCUCGGCUGAGGAUGCCUACCUUGAGAAACAGAGCUCCCUUAGAGGCCAGGGCGUCGAAGCUGCACCCGUUAGGGUAACAGUGGUAGGCCACGUCCAUGACAGGGUAACGGCUGGCAAAGAAGAGACCACUGUUGAGACACUUGAAAUUGCAGCAACCAUGGCAGCCAUAGACCCCGACGUCAUACAGGAUGUACUCAAAGUAGCCGUGUAGCUGCUCUUUCAACUUAGCAGCCGCACGCUUGUCAAACACCUCCUGCAGGCACAGGAAGUCCAGGUUGGCCGGGAAGAAGGCCGAGACCUCGUGGUCAAAGGCUUCAUCAGGGUGUCGCCGCCUGCGGGCUGCUGCCUUCUUCACCACUGAUGUCUUAUACAAGAGCUUGCUGUUGACUCCCGGCUCUCCGCUGCCACCGCCAUCUUGCCCAGCCCGCGCCUUCACCAGGGACUCCCUGGACGCCGAGGGGCUGCCCAGGCUCCCAGAAUCCCCAUCUCGCUGAUUGUGGUUGGGCGUCUGGCCCUUUGGGGUCCCACCAGCCCCAUUCCCAAUUUGGCUCCCAGUAGCAGGGUCAUCAGCUUCCGGUGGACGCCCUCCUUCGUCACCUCCAAUGCGCACAAUGCAGCUGUCCUCGAGGCUGCCAUCAGCCGGGUCCCCAGAGGCCGGGCCAUUGGCAGCCUCAUCACUGGGGUGACGCCCACCAUCCCCCUUGUAUUCCACAGAGGCCGUCCUCUUAAUGCUACCAGGGACAGCUCUGGCUCCAUCACUGCCCUGCGGAGACACCAGGCUGCUGAAGCUGGCUGCACUGAUGGAGGUGUUGGUGGGAGAAUCAAUGUAGAUUUUGAUCUGAGGCCUGGCGGCCCCAUUGCGGAUUCUCUGCCCAAUCUCUUUGGCCCGCGCUUGGGUGUUGAAAACAUUGUUGAGCCUCGCGAGUGAGUCAGGAAGGAGGCAGACGUUGGCUGUGGCAAAACAAAAGCUUUUGCCAGCCCCCGUGCCCUUCCAUUCACUGAGCAGGGCUGCCCCUCCAGCUGGGCUCUUGUCCUCUAACCGGGAGUAGGAGUAGGGCCGGCGGGCAGACUGCAGUGGAGACCAGAAGAUGAACCCAAGAAAGGCAAAAGGCAAUGCAGCCACAAGCAGAGCCAGGUAGACUGGCGUGAAGAGUACAGUGCAGAAGAGCUGCAGGCAGCAAGGGUCAUCUGCCCUCUGACGCUUCUCAUAGGUGGUGGGUAUGAAAGAGGCCACCAGCCGGUCCACCAGCCAGUAACAUGGGAAGAUGAGGGCCCAGGACACAGCGUGGAGGGCGGACAGACAGCUGUUAGGAAAGGGGGUCGUGUACAAAACCAUCGCAGCUCACUGGGCGCCGCAGCCGCCCUACUACAUGGUGUCCGUGGCAGCUGCAGCACUUUCCAGGCAGGGGUGGGCAAGCUGGGGACAGGCGGAGGAUGGGUCACCUCCUGGAAAGCUGCGACUCUGGAUAGUUAGUGCUAAAUGUUCUGCAGACAUUCAUGGUUCACCUCAAGGGGCCAUGCUGGGACACCAAAGCUCGUUGAGAACCUGUAGAAACAGUGAGAGAGGUCGUUACUAAAUUGGACUGUUGUGAAAACCAGGGAAUCAGUUUUACAUGGAGUGCUUGGGGGCCAGAAGAAUGCUCCAGCCCAUUCCAUUUGCCUAUGUAGUUUUGUUUGUUUGGAAUAAACAGCUUUGUAUAUGGUUGUCCCU